UACCACACACUACUCUACUAUAGACUACUGUACUAUACACUACUCUGCUAUAGACUACACUACUAUGCGCUGCUACACACUACACUACUAUACACCACACUAAACACUACACACCACACUAAACACUACACACUGCUAUACACUCCAUACGACACUGCGCUAGACAUUCCCCACUAUAGAUACUCCCCCCGCACACCCCACUCUAUAUAAAUAUAAACUCUGUCCACAUCGCCCUCUCUCUCGCUCGGUGUCACAUCCACGGUUUUAGUGGUCCACGGUGAGUGUCUACAUAGUGGUGAGCUGGUGAGAGUCUACACAGUGGUGAGCUGGUGAGAGUCUACACAGUGGUCCAUGGUGAGAGUCUACACAGUGGUGAGCUGGUGAGAGUCUACACAGUGGUGAGCUGGUGAGAGUCUACACAGUGGUGAGGUGGUGAGAGUCUACACAGUGGUGAGUGUCUACACAGUGGUGAGGUGGUGAGAGUCUACACAGUGGUGAGGUGGUGAGUCUACACAGUGGUGAGCGUCUACACAGUGGUGAGAGUCUUCAAAGUGGUGAGGUGAUGAGUCUACACAGUGGUGAGUGUCUACACAGUGGUGAGGUGGUGAGUCUACACAGUGGUGAGGUGGCGAGUCUACACAGUGGUGAUAACACAUUGGUGAGAGUCUAGACAAUGGUGUCUGCACACUAUUCAUCUCACCUGGCUAGAUGAAUAGUGAAUCUCAGUGGGGUCGCUCUCACCUGGCUAGAUGAAUAGUGAAUCUCAGUGGGGUAGCUCUCACCUGGCUAUAUGAAUAGUGAAUAUCAUUGGAGUGGCUCUCACCUGGCUAGAUGAAUAGUGAAUCUCAGUGGAGUGGCUCUCACCUGGCUAGAUGAAUAGUGAAUCUCAGUGGGGUCGCUCUCACCUGGCUAUAUGAAUAGUGAAUCUCAGGGGGGGUUAGCUCUCACCUGGCUAGAUGAAUAGUGAAUCUCACUGGGGUCGCUCUCACCUGGCUAUAUGAAUAGUGAAUCUCAGGGGGGGUUAGCUCUCACCUGGCUAGAUGAAUAGUGAAUCUCAGUGGGGUAGCUCUCACGUGGCUAGAUGAAUAGUGAAUCUCAGUAGAGUGGCUCUCACCUGGCUAGAUGAAGUGAAUCUCAGUGGGGUAGCUCUCACCUGGCUAUAUGAAUAGUGAAUCUCAGUGGGGUAGCUCUCACGUGGCUAGAUGAAUAGUGAAUCUCACUGGGGUCACUCUCACCUGGCUAGAUGAAUAGUGAAUCUCAGUGGGGUAGCUCUCACCUGGCUAUAUGAAUAGUGAAUCUCAGUGGGGUAGCUCUCACGUGGCUAGAUGAAUAGUGAAUCUCAGUGGGGUAGCUCUCACCUGGCUAGAUCAAUAGUGAAUCUCAGUGGGGUAGCUCUCACGUGGCUAGAUGAAUAGUGAAUCUCAGUGGGGUAGCUCUCACCUGGCUAUAUGAAUAGUGAAUCUCAGUGGGGUAGCUCUCACGUGGCUAGAUGAAUAGUGAAUCUCAGUGGGGUAGCUCUCACCUGGCUAGAUCAAUAGUGAAUCUCAGUGGGGUAGCUCUCACGUGGCUAGAUGAAUAGUGAAUCUCACUGGGGUCGCUCUCACCUGGCUAUAUGAAUAGUGAAUCUCAGUGGGGUAGCUCUCACCUGGCUAGAUGAAUAGUGAAUCUCAACGGGGUCA